rnacentral:rRNA from 1 species
GACGAACGCUGGCGGCGUGCCUAACACAUGCAAGUCGAGCGAACGGACCAGACGUUUGCGUCUCUGAUGUUAGCGGCGGAGGGGAGAAUCACACGUGGAUAACCUACCUAUCAGACUGGGAUAAUUUCGGGAAACCGGAUCUUAUACCGGAUGAUAUUUUGAACCGCAUUGUUCAAUGGUGAGAUUCGGUCGUUCGGUAACUAAUAGCUGGAUCUGCGCUGCAUUAGCUGGUUGGUACGGUAAAGGCUUACCAAGGCAAGGAUGCAUAGACGACGUGAGAGGGUGAUCGGCCACCUUGGAAGUGAGACAGGGUCCAGACUCCUGCGGUAGGACGCAGUAGGGAAUCGUACGCAAUGGGGGAGAGCCUGACGGAGUAAAGGCGCGUGAGUGGUGACGGUGUUCGGAGCGUGAAGCUCUGUUAUUCGGGGAGAACAUAUGUGUAAGUAGCCGUGGAGAUAUUGACGGUACCGGGUCAGAAAGCCACGGCUAACUACGUG